ACAAACUAGAGUCUCACAUAAGCAAAAUCACUUGCUUAGAAAUCAGUACAAAAGAGACAUAUGCACUUAGCGGCUGUGAAGACUCCGUUCAGCGUUUGUGGAAUAUGGAGAAGGGUGACUGGGAACAUGAGAUGUGUUAUAAGGGCUUCUUCUUCCAAGGUGUUGAAUGCGCCUGUUUCUCACCAGAUGACUGUUAUAUUUAUACUGGAUCUCAGGACAGAGCAGUCAAAGUAUGGGAUGUAACAAAUGGUUCUUUGCUUGCAGUGCAAUAUGUAUACGCAACCAUCACUCGUCUUGUCUCCACCCCUGAUGGAUUUUUGGGAACCACAAGACUGGGGUAUGUCAUUCAGGAGAAGUUUCAGUGCCCACAAACUGUAAGCCAGCAGUACAACCCAUUGCAGAACAUCAAGGCUACAUGCACGGUUAAAUC